CAUGAUGGAAGUGUUGCAGGUGUGGCUGCCCUGUCACACGUGUAUCGUAGGUGGCAGAGAGAGAAGAGGCUGUGUAUACACUCAUUGUUCUACUAAGAACAUCUGAACGAUUACUAGCCUAACAUU
rnacentral:snoRNA from 1 species